rnacentral:rRNA from 1 species
UACGGAGGGGGCUAGCGUUGUUCGGAAUUACUGGGCGUAAAGCGCACGUAGGCGGCUUUGUAAGUUAGAGGUGAAAGCCCGGGGCUCAACUCCGGAAUUGCCUUUAAGACUGCAUCGCUAGAAUUGUGGAGAGGUAAGUGGAAUUCCGAGUGUAGAGGUGAAAUUCGUAGAUAUUCGGAAGAACACCAGUGGCGAAGGCGUCUUACUGGACACAUAUUGACGCUGAGGUGCGAAAGCGUGGGGAGCAAACAGG